rnacentral:rRNA from 1 species
AGCGAACGCUGGCGGCAGGCUUAACACAUGCAAGUCGAGCGGGCACUUUCGGGUGUCAGCGGCGGACGGGUGAGUAACGCGUGGGAACGUGCCCUCUGGUUCGGAAUAACUCAGGGAAACUUGAGCUAAUACCGGAUACGCCCUUUUGGGGAAAGGCUUGCUGCCGGAGGAUCGGCCCGCGUCUGAUUAGCUAGUUGGUGAGGUAACGGCUCACCAGGGCGACGAUCAGUAGCUGGUCUGAGAGGAUGAUCAGCCACACUGGGACUGAGACACGGCCCAGACUCCUACGGGAGGCAGCAGUGGGGAAUAUUGGACAAUGGGCGCAAGCCUGAUCCAGCCAUGCCGCGUGAGUGAUCAAGGCCUUAGGGUUGUAAAGCUCUUUUAUCCGGGACGAUAAUGACGGUACCGGAGGAAUAAGCCCCGGCUAACUUCGUG